GACGACCGCUGGCGGCGUGCUUAACACAUGCAAGUCGAACGGAACAGCCCUUCUUUUGUGGGGUGCACGAGUGGCGAGCGGGUGAGUAACACGUGAGUAACCUACCCUUGACUUUUGGCUAACUUCAGGAGACUGGAGUUCCUCCCGAAUAGGAGCUCCUGAUGCAGGGGGGGGUUUGGCCUUUUUCGGCGGUUGGGGGUGGACUCGCGGGUUAUCAGCUUGUUGGUGGGGUAGUGGCUUACCAAGGCUUUGACGGGUGGCCGGCCUGAGCGGGUGACCGGCGGCAUUGGGACUGAGGGGCGGCCCAGGCUCCGACGGUAGGCAGCAGGGGGGAAUAUUGCACAGUAGGGGGGAGCCUGAUGCGACAGCGCCGCGGGCGGGAUGACGGCCUGCGGGUUGUAAACCGCUUUCGCCUGUGACGAAGCGUGAAUGACGGUAAUGGAUAAAGAAGCACCGGCUAACUACGUG
rnacentral:rRNA from 1 species